ensembl:lncRNA
UUGAUUUUGGUCUGAAGUAUUGCGGCGAUAAACGGUGUGAACCGGCUCCCGUAAUGGAUUAAAACAGUGACUCAGGGAACGAAAAACUCCUCAAGGGGACGAGUGUCUGCAGCGAACCACGACGCACAACCCUGAACCGCGCGGUGGUUUUGAAACGUUGUCACCCAUUUUUGUUUGUCGUCCCGUGCAGAGACCAAAGACGACGACGCCGCCGCCGCCGCGCACGGGCGUCUCAGAGCUGCCCGCCGAUGCUCUGUGGUGCUUAACGGAAAACAGCUGCCGGACAAACAGGGAUCAGAGUUCUCCCGCAAAGCGCAGAGCAGCGAGCGAUGAGGAAGAAGGAAAAGAGUUCCCCGUCCAAUCAGAGACGCAGAUGGCCACGGAAGACGUGAGCACCAGCCCAUCCGGCGCCGGGGCGACUUCCGCCUGCCAAUUCGUGCACAGCGAAUCAAAUGCGAGCCCGUGAUUGAACAGCGGACGCAGUUUAACCUGGACACCCGUAUCUGACCGCGCUGAUUCUACUCUGAGGAAUCACUAAAUCCUGACCAAAUCACGCCAACACGUC